AUGAUCUAAACCAAGCGAGUGCUGAGUCUUUGAUGCCUAUCAAAUUUUCAAGCCUAAGUAUGGUCUAUAUCUAUGCUGUCAAAGGCAGCGAUGAGGUCCAGGAGGACCAGUAUAGAUACAAGGCUAGGUUUUUUGAGGGAGAGCUUAAUAACAGAUGUCUUAAACGACUGCGGUACAUGCCCUGAUAGAAUUAUUUAUAAUCUACAGCAAAACAUUAUCCAGGAAGGGGAGACCAGUCUUAAGUAGUGUGCCCAUUCCAGCAGGAAUGGCUGUUCCUUCUUCCGUUUUCCAGGAAAUGCAAGGACCAAGACUCUCUGGCUAAAACGGAUCAGGAACAUUGGAACCCCCCACCCUGGACUGAUGUACACAGGAUUUUUCAGGUUACGUGUUGUAUUAAUUCAAUCAGCAGUUCUUUUUUCUUAAAUAUAAUUCACCACCCCAUGUCUAGAACAUUUCACACAAUAUGAGAGCUGUGUGGUGGUUCCUAGUGCAUAAUGAUGUGUGAUUUUUGAUUACAGUAUUUCAUGCAUAUUAUUAUUUAAC